GCCCCCGAGAGCUGCGUGCAGGUCCCAGCCCAGCGCAGGUUUCCGGUUUCCGGGCACCUGCAGCCACACCCGGCACCCCGGACCAGGCACCCCUGCCGGGGUGGAACCGACAGGCUGGAAGCCACCCCAGGCCUUUGAAGGAACCUGAGCUGCUUUGAGAACCCUCACUGCCCGAUCCUCCUCCACGGGCUCCCCGUCCACUUCCCUGGUUGCUCAUCUUCUCGCCCAACACCAUCCUUCGAUUUGCUUAUAUUACAGGAUUACCAACCUUUCUCCAAAGACGAUCAUCCUUACUGAACCUGGAACACGCCAUCGCCACUGCAGACCAAGGAUUCAUCUGAGGACCACCCCCAUCAAUACAAAAAUAAACUUCAUCACCCCUAAUCAGCAGGAAGCAGUUCUGAAGACUAACCUUCACCCCUUCCCAAAUCCUCUACCACUUAUAAAACAGAAAAGGGACGAAUGUAAGAAUACAGUAAUUUAUCCUCCAUUUGCCCCAUGGUCCCAAGCACAGAAGCCAGUGCGAAUUAUGCCUGGGCUUGCCUGGGGCUUGCUGGGCUUACCCCGCCUUAUCGCUAAACAUCCCGACCCUCCCCGAAGGCAACAGGCCAAGCGGAUCCACAAUAAAAGGCACCACGCUGCUGCCCUCUCUCUCUCUGUCUGUCUGUCUUUCUGUUGCGCUCUCUCUGCCUCUCUCUGUCUCUGUGUGUCUGUCUUGCUGCUCUCUCUGUCUCUGUCCCUCUGUCUGUCUCUCUGCUGCCCUCUCUUUGUCUUUGUCUCUCUGUCCCCCUGCUCUCUCUCCCUCUCUCUGCUCUCUCUCUCCCUCUCUCUCUCUGUCUCUCUCUGCCUCUCUCUCGGUCUCUCUGCUGCUGUCUCUCUCUUUGUCUCUGUUUCUCUGUCCCCCUGCUCUCCCUGCCCUCACGCCCUCUCUCUCUCUCUCUCACUCUCUCCUCUCUCACUCUCCCCACCCCCUCUGGGGCAGCCUCUCUCUCCUUCAGAUAAUAAAGUCUCUUGCGUGGG